GCCUGCUUUGACAGCCCAUAAGCUAACGGGGAACAAUGCAGGGAAGAUUAGCAUGUCCCCAGUGCAAGAAUGACAAGCAAAUUUGCGGAGCGUUCCAUAGUUUU